rnacentral:sRNA from 1 species
ACUCGGCCCUGGACUUUGUGAACACUCUUAGUUUUGGUGUGAGGAGGUAGGGCGGCGAAGGACUGCUGGAUUCUGAAGAAGUAGGAGGGGUUGUACUGAGGAUGCUUGACAGGUACUAUUGGGAAUGAUGGUGACCUAGACACAGUCCUUCCUGUCUGGAGGAUUGGGAAGAUAUGCUAUCACAGCUCCAUGGUGCUGAGCCUGAGGAGAAACCCUUGCUCUGCAUGGUGGAUGGCGGCCUGCAGGCAGACUGACUGAGGCACACACUGUGUUCAUGUUCGCUAGAGGAACAGAACUGAUCGAAUGGAUAUCUGUGCAAAGGAGCGUAACUAGAUCGCCUUACGUAAACAAGCGGAUGGUCCAACAACGGCCUUUGCAUACUAGAGACGCUGAGACCCUCUGGUUCUUCCAUGCAUGAAGCCGAGUACCUCAGCAGUUCCAAUCUGACUGAUGGAUGCAACAGACUGGAUGGAUCCUGGGAAGUGCUAGUCUUUAGACCAUGUUGGAGGGACAAAGAAAUUGGGUUCUGAUGUCAGCAAAGGAUGGCACUCCUAUCACAACCAUGGUCAUUGUUGUCAUC